rnacentral:rRNA from 1 species
UACGGAGGAUGCGAGCGUUAUCCGGAUUUAUUGGGUUUAAAGGGUGCGUAGGCGGACGCUUAAGUCAGCGGUAAAAUUGCGGGGCUCAACCUCGUCGAGCCGUUGAAACUGGGUGCCUUGAGUGGGCGAGAAGUACGCGGAAUGCGUGGUGUAGCGGUGAAAUGCAUAGAUAUCACGCAGAACUCCGAUUGCGAAGGCAGCGUACCGGCGCCCUACUGACGCUGAGGCACGAAGGCGUGGGUAUCGAACAGG